UUUUCUUUUCUGUUUCCCGUCUUUGUUGUCAACAUGAAGGUGUUGUUGGGGGUGUUGUUGGUGGUGG
rnacentral:ribozyme from 1 species